AACCUCCAAAAAACAACUAACUGCAAGGCAGACUCUAGGCUGACCAAGAGAAAGCAUUUUCAAAAGGGAGCCCGCACAUCACCGCAGCCGGUGAGGAGAGAAAGGCAAAACUCGAGGUACCGAACCUCGGACCGGGUUAAACCACGCCCUGGGCGUGAUUUUAAGCAAGUGGUCAACGAAUUGCAGAUUAAUCCACAACUCCCUGCCCCGAGCAAGGCGCGGAGGCACGGCCAGGAGAAGGCGCGGCUGUGGGGCAGCAGCACCGUCCAUCCCGGUACCGGUCGGGUGCUGUGGGGCACAGGGCUGCCGCCCUUCACCCCUCCGACGGGCCGGGGGGGAGCAGGUGCGGGCCCCCUCCUUGCUCAGGCGCCCGGGGAGGCGACGGAGGGACGCGGCCUCUCGCAGGGCCGUCCCCCACGCAGGGCGGGCGGGCCGCGGCGCGCAUCGUCCCCUCCCACCGCUCCGCGGGAGGGAGCGCGGAGGAAGGGCCGCGGGGACGGGGGGGUGGGGAGGGAGAAUACCUCAGGCGCUGCUCGCCCCGCCGCCGCGCGGCCCUGCUCCCGCCCGCCGCCGCUGCUGCCUGCCGGGAGCGGAGCGGGGCGGGGCCGACCGGGCCGGCAUGGCGGCGGGGACGCACCGGAAACUGCGCAGCACCAGCGGCGGNNNNNNNNNNGGGCGAGCUGGGGUCUAGGGCUUCCUCUGCUUUGUAGGGCGCUGGGCAGCGCGGCGGCGAGGGCCGGGAGCGGCGGCGCGGGGAGCCGGGGAGCGGCGGCCAGCAGAAGGACUGAAUGAUUUGUCAACAAGUUCCUGUCCCUUCUCAUACACCCAUAAAAGCAUUUAAUAUGAGGAGGCUUAAGAGAAGUCUGACUGCAGGAAAAACUUUUAGAACAGCAGAGUAUAGCCCUGCAUGCUGGUUUAUUUUGCAACUUUAUCAGUUUUACCUUUAUUUGCCUUAUUCUGUGUUGGGCUUGCAGAGAAGAAAUUUACACUGAAAGGGAGAUUUGCAAUUCUGGUUAGCACUGAGAGGCUGUAUGUAGAGAGAGUUACUUCGUGACAGCAAUGAUGUUUUAUUACUGUUGCACUUAAUGGAACACAAUUUGUGGCUAAAAUUGUAAUUUUGGGGGAGGCAGCUGUGACUUGAAUAUUUAUACUUAUAACUUCAAAUAAAGAAAAAACUUAAAACUGAUUUCUUCUUGUA
rnacentral:lncRNA from 1 species